UACCAGCACCCCGAGUGGUCGGGACGUUUAUUGGGCCUAAAGCAUCCGUAGCCGGUUCUACAAAUCUUCCGUUAAAUCCAACUGCUUAACAGGUGGGCUGCGGAAGAUACUAUAGAGCUAGGAGGCGGGAGAGGCAAGCGGUACUCGAUGGGUAGGGGUAAAAUCCGUUGAUCCAUUGAAGACCACCAGUGGCGAAGGCGGCUUGCCAGAACGCGCUCGACGGUGAGGGAUGAAAGCUGGGGGAGCAAACCGG
rnacentral:rRNA from 1 species